CAAGUACUCCCUCCGUCUGAAAAAGCUUGUCUCUCAAGUCUCAAAUGAAUGUAUCUAGCACCAAGUUAGUGCUAGAUACAUCCAUUUGAGGGACAAGUUCGGGACAAGUUUUUUCAGAGGAGGGAGUAGUGA
rfam:Triticum aestivum genome assembly, contig: Triticum_aestivum_CS42_TGACv1_scaffold_640727_T_5BL-0.209143_7BS-0.153329